rnacentral:lncRNA from 1 species
CGGCGGGGCCAGGUCGCCGGCGCAUAUCUCCUCCUCCAGGCUGCGCAUGACGGAGGCCAGGUCGCCGGCCGCCGCGGCGUCGGCGUCGUCGUCGAGCAGGUCAAGCAGGUCCUCGGGCCGCAUCCUCUUGGCGGCCUCCGCCUCGGCGGACGAGGCCGCGUCCAGGUCGGCCUCCCUGGCCCUCUUGUUGCCGCCGGUAUACGAGCUCAGCAGCAGAGACGAGGAGGAGCUCUCCAUGGCCGGCAGACGAGCUUUUUUUUCUUCCUUCUCUUUCUUGUUUCCCGUCGAGGGGUGGGUGGGUGCAAGGCAACGGACGUGAACGUAAGCAAAGAGCACUCUGGGCGCGAAACGCGAAGGGCGCACAAGGUGGGAGAGAUCAGAGUACAAAAAGCG